CCGGCCUGGCACCGGGAAGGGGCGGGCGUCCCGCGUGUGUCCUGGGACUGGCGCGCGGCGGACAAAGCACUUCCACGUGCCGCUGGAUGGGCCAGCAGAUUACCUGUGAGUGGCUCCUACUGUGGAUCCAGGGUCUGAUGCUGCCCCUGUGUUCCUUCAGGAAUGGCACGGUGUCAGCUGCAUGGUCUCAGUUUUGCCAGCAACAGUGGUGUGACUUCCAGGUCACUAUAGGCAUGAAGAAAAAUUGGCAGCAGAAGCUCUGUCUAAGCACUAAAGGUGAAGGAGCUGGAAAAAGGUAAUUUGCCUUUUAAGAAGUGUUUUUAAAUUGUAGGCACUGCUCCUUAAAGAAUCUGUAAGUCAUUUUACUGUGGUUCUGGACUGAAUCUUUUUUGUUUGUUUGUUUAUUGUGAUGAAAUAUAUGUAAUGUAAAAUUUACCAGUUGAACCAUUUUUAAGUGUACAAUUCGGUGACAUUAACUACCUUGGCAAUAUUCUACAACCAUCACCAUUAUGCAUCUCCAGAACUUUCUCAUCAUUCUAAAUAGAAACUCUGUAUCCAUUAACAAUAACUUCCCAUUCCAUCCUUCCCCCAGGCACUUGAGACCACCACUCUACUUUUUGUCUCUAUGAAUUUGACUCCUCUAGAGACCUCAUGUACAUGGAGGUAUAAACACUGUGGCCUUUGGGUCUGGCUUAUUUCAU